rnacentral:rRNA from 1 species
GACAGAGGGGGCAAGCGUUGCUCGGAAUCACUGGGCGUAAAGGGCGCGUAGGCGGGAUGGCAAGUCAGUCGUGAAAUCUCUCGGCUCAACCGAGAAACGUCGGCUGAUACUGCCGUUCUUGAGGGAUGCAGAGGAGACUGGAAUUCCCGGUGUAGCGGUGAAAUGUGUAGAGAUCGGGAGGAACACCAGUGGCGAAGGCGACUACCUGGACCAGCACUGACACUGAGGCACGAAAGCGUGGGGAGCAAACAGG